rnacentral:rRNA from 1 species
GACGAACGCUGGCGGCGUGCUUAACACAUGCAAGUCGAACGAUGAAGCCUUCGGGUGGAUUAGUGGCGAACGGGUGAGUAACACGUGGGCAAUCUGCCCUGUACUUUGGGAUAAGCCUUGGAAACGGGUCGUAAUACCGGAUAUCACUUCUGACCGCAUGGUUGGUUGUUGAAAGUUCUGGCGGUACAGGAUGAGCCCGCGGCCUAUCAGCUUGUUGGUGGGGUAAUGGCCUACCAAGGCGACGACGGGUAGCCGGCCUGAGAGGGUGACCGGCCACACUGGGAC